AUACGGAGGGUCCGAGCGUUAUCCGGAAUCAUUGGGUUUAAAGGGUCCGUAGGCGGGAAUCUAAGUCAGUGGUGAAAUCUUGCAGCUCAACUGUAAAAUUGCCUUUGAUACUGGGUUUCUUGAAUUAGUGUGAAGUGGUUAGAAUGUGUAGUGUAGCGGUGAAAUGCAUAGAUAUUACACAGAAUACCAAUUGCGAAGGCAGAUCACUAACACUAUAUUGACGCUGAGGGACGAAAGCGUGGGGAGCGAACAGGAUUAGAAACCCUAGUAGUCC
rnacentral:rRNA from 1 species